UUACGGCCAUAUCACGUUGAAACACCGGUUUCAGUAUGAUCCCCGAAGUUAAGCAAUGUCGAGCAUCGUCAGUACCUAGAUGGGUGACCGCUUAUGUAUACCAGGUGUU